CUGUGCUCACUUCAGCACCAGGCGUUCUGAAAUUGGAACAAUGUAGACAUUAGUGAUGCCCCUGUACAAGGGUGACAUGCAAACUCAUGAAGUGUUCCAAAUUGUU